rnacentral:ribozyme from 1 species
AAUUCUGUACACUGCCAACUGCAGAAGCGUUCAUGUCGCAGCCCAUCAGAUUCUAAAGAAUCUGCUAAAUUUUGA